UCCGUAGGCGGGCAAUUAAGUCAGUGGUGAAAGGUAUCAGCUUAACUGAUGACGUGCCAUUGAAACUGAUAGGCUUGAGUACAGACGAGGUAGGCGGAAUUUAUGGUGUAGCGGUGAAAUGCAUAGAUACCAUAAAGAACACCAAUUGCGAAGGCAGCUUACUAGACUGAGACUGACGCUGAGGCACGAAAGCGUGGGGAGCGAACAGGAUUAGAUACCCUGGUAGUCC
rnacentral:rRNA from 1 species